CUCAACCCCUGAGGCUGUCCCCAGGCCCCGUCAAAACCUCUACCAGAAGUUCUCCAGCAGCUCUUCCUGAACUUUAUGGGUAAGUUCAAGGCAAAGGUUCCAGGAAGUCAUAUUUUAGCCCGCCUCUGGCCCAAGCCCCAGUGCAGCAUGAUCAGUAGUGAGCCGAACACUGCAUUUUCAUCUCCAUCUGGCUUGUGUGUCGAACACACAAUUGAUUCUGAAUCUGGAAAGGAAGAACGCUGAGCAGUUCAGGAGAGGAUGAGUUGCAGGAAUGGGAUAAGCUCAUGACUGGAAAGGAUCCAGGAUAAGGUAUGUAGAGAUGGAGUGAAGUAUCUACUGCACACAUUGUAUAGUGAUUUCUUUUUAAGAUGGAAAUUUAACAUUCGUUUUGAAGGUCACUCUUGGCCUAUUCAAGAGAUAACUGUUUGACUCUUCAUGCUUAAAUGGCUUUCUACAUCUCUGCCUGCGCUGGCUGUGGAUCUUGGCAGGCUGGAAAUUGCUCUGGGGUUGUGGGGGGGACACUCAAUGACUGGGGGAGAGGAGUAGAUGGAUAAAUACUC
rnacentral:lncRNA from 1 species